GAUGAACGCUGGCGGCGUGCUUAACACAUGCAAGUCGAACGGUGAAGUGCCUUCCUUUUUGGUUGGUGUGGAGGAGCGGCGAACGGGUGAGUAACACGUGAGUAACCUUCCCCCUUCUUCUGGAUAACCGCAUGAAAGUGUGGCUAAUACGUAAUAUUCAGGAUCUGUCGCUUGUUGGGUCUGGGAUAGAUAUUGUUUCGGUUGUGGAUGGGCUCGCGGCCUAUCAGCUUGUUGGUGGGGUGAUGGCCUACCAAGGCGGUGACUGGUAGCCGGCCUGAGAGGAUGGACGGCCCCGGUGGGGCUGAGACGCGGACCCGACUCCUACGGGCAGCAGCAGUGGAGCUUAUUGCACGGUGGGAGGCAUGAUGAUGCAGCGCCGCGGGGUGAGGGAUGGUCUCCUGAGGGUUGUGAUCCUCUUUCGCCAGUGAAGCAAGGCUGAAUCAAUUGUGGGUGGGUUGACGGUAGCUAGAUAGAAAGCGCCGGCUAACUACGUG
rnacentral:rRNA from 1 species